GGUUAGAAAUAACAGUCAGAAGUGCCGGAGCUUGUCCGCAUCUUCCACAGAGCAAGAUGGCCAGAAGACUGUUUCUUUUGCUGUUUCUCCAGCUUCUGAAGUUGAAAAUGCCAACCAAGUAGUAACUACGAACAAUGGUCGGUCCUUUCAGUCUAACCAGACAAAUCGUGGGAGAGUAGGAAGAAAGGGAAGAAACCACUUUAAGUAAUGGACUUUUUAGUGUUAAUUAUUCUCAGUGUGGCAUAUCUAGUCACCCAGCAGUGUGAACAUUGGCUCUAGGUAUGGUCACUGAUGAAGUACCUCCAUGACCCAAGGUGCAAAAUGGGAAAAAGAGUGUUGAUGCUGAUGCCAAUGUGAGCACCUGUAACAUGGAAACAAGCCUUGCCAUUGACCAGUAUGUUUAUUUUGUGAAGAAUGAUGCUCUUUGUAACAUGUCAUUUCAGGUUAUGAGGUCAUUUAUAUCUAAAAAUUGUGUUUUGUGGAGUAAGCUAUUUGGAGUAUCAAAAGAGCAUAAGAUUAUCCAUUUCUUAAUCUUUUUAACAGUAUUAUCAGUAAUCUUUUUAAUAGUAUUAGAAUGUAUAUUAAAGUAAUAAGUAAAUGAAGAGGUUAUUAUAUUAUUAUUGAAAUGAACGCUGUCUGACCAGCAAUACCUGACUCAAAAAUUACUUCAGAAAAAUGGUUUAUUACGAGUGCUCCAUUUAUCAUAUUCAUCCUUAAUAUGAGUUAAUUGCAAGAUAUCAUGGCCUGUAUUAAUUCUAAGAUGUCAUAACCUCUGCAAGCUUGUGUUUUGUUUUGAUAUUUUAAUAAAGUUCUUAUCUGUGGUUUCCUGA